rfam:Oryzias latipes DNA, chromosome22, strain: Hd-rR.
ACUAAGGCUUUUAUUAAAGCCACGAAAAACAUGCAGAAAUGUCAAG